rfam:Picea glauca, whole genome shotgun sequence.
UCAUAUGUACAUGUCUACAAUGUUAAUGCAUUGGAUCCCAUUAGAAAUAUGCACUGAAGCGCACUUAGGCUAGAGUACUACUAGAAAGGGUGGCCUCCUGGGAAGUCCUAGUGCUUUACAUGCC